AUAUCUUUCUCGGCCUUUUGACAAAAAUCAAGUGUAGUAUUUAUUCUUAUCAUUUUAAUAUUUGAUACGUAAGCUAAUGACUUGCACGGCAUUAAAUUAAUUUUUUAGGGGCAAAGGUUGCCACAGUAGCUUGCUAUUGGGCUUCUCGCGGGUCGCCCUGGCAUUGCACUAUAGCCUAGGCUAGGCCCACCCCAU